UACGUAGGGUGCAAGCGUUAAUCGGAAUUACUGGGCGUAAAGCGUGCGCAGGCGGUGAUGUAAGACAGAUGUGAAAUCCCCGGGCUCAACCUGGGAACUGCAUUUGUGACUGCAUCGCUGGAGUACGGCAGAGGGGAUGGAAUUCCGCGUGUAGCAGUGAAAUGCGUAGAGAUGUGGAGGAACACCGAUGGCGAAGGCAGCCCCCUGGGCCAACACUGACGCUCAGGCACGAAAGCGUGGGAGCAAACAGG
rnacentral:rRNA from 1 species